UACAGAGGUCCCAAGCGUUAAUCGGAAUUACUGGGCGUAAAGCGUGCGCAGGCGGUUUUGUAAGACUGUCGUGAAAUCCCCGGGCUUAACCUGGGAAUGGCGAUGGUGACUGCAAGGCUAGAGUUUGGCAGAGGGGGGUAGAAUUCCACGUGUAGCAGUGAAAUGCGUAGAGAUGUGGAGGAACACCGAUGGCGAAGGCAGCCCCCUGGGUCAAAACUGACGCUCAUGCACGAAAGCGUGGGGAGCAAACAGG
rnacentral:rRNA from 1 species